AGUGAACGCUGGCGGUAGGCCUAACACAUGCAAGUCGAACGGCAGCACAGUAAGAGCUUGCUCUUACGGGUGGCGAGUGGCGGACGGGUGAGGAAUACAUCGGAAUCUACUUUUUCAUGGGGGAUAACGUAGGGAAACUUACGCUAAUACCGCAUACGACCUACGGGUGAAAGCAGGGGAUCUUCGGACCUUGCGCGAUUGAAUGAGCCGAUGUCGGAUUAGCUAGUUGGCGAGGUAAAGGCCCACCAAGGCGACGAUCCGUAGCUGGUCUGAGAGGAUGAUCAGCCACACUGGAACUGAGACACGGUCCAGACUCCUACGGGAGGCAGCAGUGGGGAAUAUUGGACAAUGGGCGCAAGCCUGAUCCAGCCAUACCGCGUGGGUGAAGAAGGCCUUCGGGUUGUAAAGCCCUUUUGUUGGGAAAGAAAAGCAGCAGGUUAAUACCCCGCUGUUCUGACGGUACCCAAAGAAUAAGCACCGGCUAACUUCGUG
rnacentral:rRNA from 1 species